rnacentral:lncRNA from 1 species
CUUCCUGUCUCUAGGCCUGGCUCUCAAACCACGGGGCCACCGAGCUGCCCUCCUCCACAAUCUAUUCUUUUCUGAGGCACUGAGAGGUUUAGACAUUUGCCCAGGGUCACAAAGUCUGCUUCAGAGGCUUGGUUUGAAGUUGAUUCUUACUGACUGGGCACUAUUCAUUCCAUACAAACACAUUUCUAUUGAUAUGGACAUCUCUGGGUAUGUAUAUGCUUCCAAAUACAUACAUACACAUAAUGGAGGUAUUGUUUUCCACAUUUACUGAGGAGAUAAAUGAAAUUGAGUGAAGGCCAAGGUAGUUGAGUUAAGAGAGAUGACUGAAAAAAGAGGUUCAAGAGGUUUUGAAUAUUUGUUGGUUACUGAUCUGUGAAUUUUAACAUGUAACUUAUUAAACUUUGAGAAGAUGAUUAGCUGAUUCAGCCAGUUCAAUUUAAUAAAAAUCUAGUAAGUGUAGCUACUCUGUACAGAGCACUGUACAUGUUUUUAGGGAGAAAAGUUUAAGGACCACUUUCUACCCUUAGGAAACAGUCUAGUAAUUCAACAUGAGACCCAAUCACACUGACAACUAAAAUGAAUUGUCCAAAGGGCACAGAUUGUUUUCCUAUCUUUUUUUCCCUGCACCCCAACCCCUAGCACUGCACCUUGUCCAUGACAGAUAUUUAGAUACUGUUGAACUGAAUACAAACCAAGUGUAUAAUUCUGGACACCAGGGAAACAAAACCCAAACCAGUCAUUGUCCUUUAAGGAGUUUGCAAUCUCUGGGGAAGAUGUAGUAAGUAUAUAGAUGAUGUGAAAAUUACAGGAGAGAAUAGUAACCAGGGAAAUCGGGAAGCAUUCUGUAAGAGGUAGUACAUGAGCUGAGCUUAGGAGAUUUUGAGAGGCAGAGGAGGAAUGGAAAACAUUCCAGGUAGAGGUGCAAGAGAAAAAACAAGAAAUUGGCAUGUUGAUUUUGAGGAACAGCAAAGAGGUGUGUGCGAGAACAAAGAGAACAGCAAAGAGGUGUGUGCGAGAACAAAGAGAACAGAGUGUGUGAGAAAGAGUAAGUUCAUUGGAAAGUAGCCAAGUAUGCAAAGAUGCUUUAAUUGUUGACAGAAGGG